rnacentral:rRNA from 1 species
ACGAACGUGGCGGCGUGCCUAACACAUGCAAGUCGAGCGAGAAAAUUCUUCGGAAUGAGUAAAGCGGCGCACGGGUGAGUAACACGUAGGUAACCUACCUCGAGCCCGGAAUAACCCGUCGAAAGAUGGGCUAAUGCCGGAUGAGACCACGGUGGUCACGGCCACCGCGGUCAAAGAUGGCCUCUGUUCACAAGCUAUUACUCGGGUGAUGGGCCUGCGCGCCAUUAGCUAGUUGGUGAGGUAACGGCUCACCAAGGCGAUGAUGGCUAGCUGGUCUGAGAGGAUGACCAGCCACACUGGGACUGACACACGGCCCAGAACUCCUACGGGAGGCAGCAGUGGGGGAUAUUGCGCAAUGGGCGAAAGCCUGACGCAGGCCGACGGCCGCGUGGGAAUAAGAUGAAGGCCUUCGGGUCUUAAAGCCCUGUCGAGGGGGACGAAUCAGUUUGGUCCUAACACGACCAGACCCUGACGGUACCCCUAAAGGAGCACCGGCUUAACUCCGUGCCAGCAGCCGCGGUAAUACGGAGGGUGCAAGCGUGUUCGGAAUCAGGGGCGUAAAGGGCGUGUAGGCGGUCCGCUAAGUCUGUGUGAAAGCCCGAGGCUUACCCUCGGAGUGCAUUGGAAGACUGGCGGACUUGAGUCCCGGGAGAGGAGGGUGGAAUUCCUGGUGUAGCGUGUAAAAUGCGUAGAUAUCAGAGGGAAGGAACACGGUGGCGAAGGCGGCUCUUGGACGGGGUUGACUGGACGCUGAGACGCUAAAGCGUGGGGAAGCAAACAGGAUUAGAUACCCUGGUAGUCCACGCUGUAAACGAUGAGCACUAGGUGUCGGCGGGUUAUUGACCCCUGCGGUUGCCGACGCUAACGCAUUAAGUGCUCCGCCUGGGGAGUAGCGGUCGCAAGAUUAAAACUCAAAGGAAUUGACGGGGGCCCGCACAAGCGGUGGAGCAUGUGGUUCAAUUCGACGCCAACGCGCAGAACCUUACCCGGGACUAGACAACGGUGGACCGCCCCAGAGAUGGGGCAUUUUCCUUCGGGAACCGCCGGUUCAGGUGCUGCAUGGCUGUCGUCAGCUCGUGUCGUGAGAUGUUGGGUUAAGUCCCGCAACGAGCGCAACCCUUGCCCUUAGUUGCCAGCACUUCGGGUGGGCACUCUAAGGGGACUGCCCGGUCGUCAAGCGGGAGGAAGGUGGGGAUGACGUCAAGUCCUCAUGGCCCUUAUGUCCGGGGCUACACACGUGCUACAAGGGACAGUACAAAGGGUCGCGAACCCGCAAGUGGGGAGGCCCAAUCCCAAAAAAGCUGUCCUCAGUUCGGAUCGGAGUCUGCAACUCGACUCCGUGAAGGUGCGAAUCGCUAGUAAUCGCGGAUCAGCAUGCCGCGGUGAAUACGUUCUCGGGCCUUGUACACAACCGCCCCGUCACACCAUGGGAGUCAGUUUGUGGCCGGAAGCCGGCGAUCCAACCCGCAAGGGGGGUGUAGCCGUCCAUGGUAUGGCUGAUGACUGGGGUG